UACCGAGUUUACAACUCACAAACCCUUAUGUGAACCGUACCUAUCGUUGCUUCGGCGGGAACGCCCCGGCGCCCUGCGCCCGGAUCCAGGCGCCCGCCGGAGACCCCAAACUCUUGUGUUUUUUUCAGUAUUCUCUGAGUGGCAAACGCAAAAAUAAAUCAAAACUUUUAACAACGGAUCUCUUGGCUCUGGCAUCGAUGAAGAACGCAGCGAAAUGCGAUAAGUAAUGUGAAUUGCAGAAUUCAGUGAAUCAUCGAAUCUUUGAACGCACAUUGCGCCCGUUAGCAUUCUAGCGGGCAUGCCUGUCCGAGCGUCAUUUCAACCCUCAGGGUCCCCGUUCCGGCGGGGAACCUGGUGUUGGGGAUCGGCCCGCCCCGUGCGGCGCCGUCCCCCAAAUUCAGUGGCGGUCUCGCUGCAGCCUCCCCUGCGUAGUAGUUACAACCUCGCAUCGGAGCUCAGCGCGGCCACGCCGUAAAACCCCCGACUUUCUGAACGUUGACCUCGGAUCAGGUAGGAAUACCCGCUGAACUUAAGCAUAUCAAUAAGCGGAGGA
rnacentral:rRNA from 1 species